rnacentral:rRNA from 1 species
GAUGAACGCUGGCGGCGCGCUUAACACAUGCCAGUCGAACGGAAAGGCCACAGCUUGCUGUGGUACUCGAGUGGCGAACGGGUGAGUAACACGUGGGUGAUCUGCCCUGUACUUCGGGAUAAGCUUGGGAAACUGGGUCUAAUACCGGAUAGGAAUCACAUGUGGGUGUGUGGUUGGAAAGCUUUUGCGGUAUGGGAUGAGCUCGCGGCCUAUCAGCUUGUUGGUGGGGUAAUGGCCUACCAAGGCGUCGACGGGUAGCCGGCCUGAGAGGGUGUACGGCCACAUUGGGACUGAGAUACGGCCCAGACUCCUACGGGAGGCAGCAGUGGGGAAUAUUGCACAAUGGGCGCAAGCCUGAUGCAGCGACGCCGCGUGGGGGAUGACGGCCUUCGGGUUGUAAACUCCUUUCGUCAGGGACGAAGCGAAAGUGACGGUACCUGGAUAAGAAGCACCGGCUAACUACGUG